rnacentral:rRNA from 1 species
UACGUAGGGUGCGAGCGUUAAUCGGAAUUACUGGGCGUAAAGCGUGCGCAGGCGGUCUGUUAAGACCGAUGUGAAAUCCCCGGGCUUAACCUGGGAACUGCAUAGGUGACUGGCAGGCUUUGAGUGUGGCAGAGGGAGGUAGAAUUCCACGUGUAGCAGUGAAAUGCGUAGAGAUGUGGAGGAAUACCGAUGGCGAAGGCAGCCUCCUGGGCCAACACUGACGCUCAUGCACGAAAGCGUGGGGAGCAAACAGG